AACGAACGCUGGCGGCAUGCCUAACACAUGCAAGUCGAACGAGACCUUCGGGUCCAGUGGCGCCCGGGUGCGUAACGCGUGGGAACCUGCCCUUAGGUUCGGAAUAACUCUCCGACAGGGGUGCUAACACCGGAUAAUGUCUUCGGACCAAAGAUUUAUCGACUUUGGAUGGGCCCGCGUUGGAUUAGCUAGUUGGUAGGGUAAAAGCCUACCAAGGCGACGAUCCAUAGCUGGUCUGAGAGGAUGAUCAGCCACACUGGGACUGAGACACGGCCCAGACUCCUACGGGAAGCAGCAGUGGGGAAUGUUGGACAAUGGGCGAAAGCCUGAUCCAGCAAUGCCGCGUGAGUGAUGAAGGCCUUAGGGUUGUAAAGCUCUUUUACCCGGGAUGAUAAUGACAGUACCGGGAGAAUAAGCUCCGGCUAACUCCGUG
rnacentral:rRNA from 1 species